rnacentral:lncRNA from 1 species
UAGUGGACCGUCAGAGGAGGGCGUGGACUCUGAGCCUCAGAAGCAGGAGCUGACAGAGAAGAACCAAGUGUGCUGGCGCGUGUGCAGACAGGUUCCUGGAGCAAGAGUGAGGAGAUCAGGGUCCCAUCACUGGGACACUUUAGCUCUUCAUGCAGAUGACGGACCCCAUGGCGUCGGGUGGCUGAGAGGAUGCAGCUUCUCAGGACUCUGCACUGGAUGGCUGAUAGAUGGGAAGCAUUUCGGGUGUAAGGACCUUCCAGCGCUUCGCGGGUGCCACAGAAAGCUGACGCGAUACGGCGACCAUGACGACAUUGUAAUAGAGACAGAGGUGGCCUCGCGAGAAGAGCAGGUCCCGCCUUCAGGUGUUGGGUACUCAGCUGAGAUGGGAGACCCCACGGUGGGGGAUGAACGGCCCUGGGACGUGGAGGAGACAAAGGGACCCAGAUCCAAGGCGGGUCUUUCCCGCUUUGGGACUCAGAGUCCCGGCGGGCUCGUAGGUAAAGGCACUGGGGUCUCGCCGGUCCCAGUGAGUGUGGCGUCCUGCCCCAAGGGUGUCCUACAGAUGCUUUCCUUCUAAAUUCAGGGACGCGGGAGAUGACACAGGGAACGGCUCUCUCUGAGCCCCAGUUGCCCCCUCUGUUAAACGGGAUGAGAAUGCUCAAACCCCAGGAUCGCUGGGAGCGUUCAGUGACAACACCUCUUCAUGCUGCUGGCCGAGCUCCUAUCAGGCGUCUGAAGGAGGCAGCUUCUGAGGAUCUGUGUCUCCAUGACUGCUGAACCAUCUGCUCCAGAUUCAAGGGCAGCCAUCCUCAGGAGACCACGACACUUCACAUCCCUGCUUGGAUAUGAGGCCUGGUCCGAGGCGCUCCAAUUUCAGUUCUCCGCUCGCUGACCACCCUCUCCCUCGCCGUGCGCUGUCCCCAAGCAACCUCUGAUCUUCUGUCAAUAGAUUAUUUUAACUUCCCG